rnacentral:rRNA from 1 species
UACGUAGGCAGCGAGCGUUGUUCGGAGUUACUGGGCGUAAAGGGUGCGUAGGCGGUUGUUUAAGUUUGGUGUGAAAUCUCCCGGCUCAACUGGGAGGGUGCGCCGAAUACUGAAUGACUAGAGUGCGGGAGAGGAUAGUGGAAUUCCAGGUGUAGCGGUGAAAUGCGUAGAUAUCUGGAGGAACACCGGUGGCGAAGGCGGCAUCCUGGACCAACACUGACGCUGAGGAGCGAAAGCCAGGGGAGCAAACGGG